rnacentral:rRNA from 1 species
GUCCAUGCCGUAAACGUUGGGAACUAGGUGUGGGCCUCAUUCCACGAGGUCAGUGCCGCAGCUAACGCAUUAAGUUCCCCGCCUGGGGAGUACGGCCGCAAGGCUAAAACUCAAAGGAAUUGACGGGGGCCCGCACAAGCGGCGGAGCAUGCGGAUUAAUUCGAUGCAACGCGAAGAACCUUACCAAGGCUUGACAUAUACCGGAAAAGUGCAGAGAUGUGCUCCCCGCAAGGUCGGUAUACAGGUGGUGCAUGGUUGUCGU